rnacentral:rRNA from 1 species
CCCUUAGAUGUUCUGGGCCGCACGCGCGCUACACUGACUGCUCCAACAAGUUACCUGGGCUGACAAGCAUCCGGGAAAUCUUGCAAAGGCAGUCGUGAUGGGGAUAGAUUCUUGUAAUUUUUAAUCUUCAACGAGGAAUUCCUAGUAAGCGCGAGUCAUCAGCUCGUGCUGAUUACGUCCCUGCCCUUUGUACACACCGCCCGUCGCUGCAACUGAUUGGGUGACCUGGUGAACAUCUUGGACCGGUCCACUCAAUUUCGAGAGGACUGGAAAAGGCCGUAAAUCAGGUACAUCUAGAAAUUGCAAAAGUCGUAACA